rnacentral:lncRNA from 1 species
AUGCGCGGUAAAGAAAAAAGGAUGCCUCGAGGACGGUGUGAUUCAUGUGCGCCGCAGCUGGUGUCUUCAGAGGUCCACCCACCCGAGCCGCCACUGCCCCCUUCUCCUGCUCCCAGAGGUCUGGAGCCUUCUCCCCCACCUCCUCUUCCUCCAUUGCCCGUAGAAAGGACCAGCGCAAUCUGCGACUCCCGCCCUCCUUUCUUCCACCCAAACCUCUCGGGCAGCUGCGAGAACUUGGACCACGAAACCGAGACGGAGUCCGUCGUGUUGCUGCGGAGAGAGUGGCCAUGGUGCCGGGAGAGCAGAGAGCACGGAGGUAAACCACCCCUCCCCGAAAGCUUCCGGGCCCUUUCCUUGGCGGGAGCGGCAGGUGGGGAGGCCCAAUCCUGGUGGGGGCAGAUUUUAUAUAACUUACACAUUGCUGACAACUCUAGACAGCUUACAAC